GACGUAGGGCGCGAGCGUUGUCCGGAUUUAUUGGGCGUAAAGAGCUCGUAGGCGGCUUGUCGCGUCGACUGUGAAAACCCGCGGCUCAACUGCGGGCCUGCAGCCGAUACGGGCAGGCUAGAGUUCGGUAGGGGAGACUGGAAUUCCUGGUGUAGCGGUGAAAUGCGCAGAUAUCAGGAGGAACACCAGUGGCGAAGGCGACUACCUGGCCUGUUCUUGACGCUGAGGCGCGAAAGCUAGGGGAGCAAACGGG
rnacentral:rRNA from 1 species